UAGCCUUGACAUUGAUUGAACACACUAGAGAUAGAGUGGUGCCCUUCGGGGAACAUGAAAACAGGUGCUGCACGGCUGUCGUCAGCUCGUGUCGUGAGAUGUUGGGUUAAGUCCCGCAACGAGCGCAACCCUCGCUAAUAGUUAAUAACGGUUCGGCCGAUGACUCUAUUAGGACUGCCUGGGUAACCAGGAGGAAGGUGAGGACGACGUCAAGUCAUCAUGGCCCUUACGGCCAGGGCUACACACGUGCUACAAUGGGGUAUACAGAGAGCCGCAAUACCGCGAGGUGGAGCAAAUCUUAAAAAUAUCUCCCAGUUCGGAUAGCAGUCUGCAACUCGACUGCUUGAAGUUGGAAUCGCUAGUAAUCGUGAAUCAGCAAUGUCACGGUGAAUACGUUCCCGGGUCU
rnacentral:rRNA from 1 species